GCCCCGUGGUUCCUGGACGCUAUGGUGUCAGUAUAGCUCGCCAGGCUGUGAAGAUGGGCCCAGAGCAAGCAGGCGCAGUGAUAUAUGCGUGGGGGCUGCGUCCCCCUGGCAGCCCCUACAGCCCGGUCACUGGGACACGC
ensembl:snoRNA SNORA84 small nucleolar RNA, H/ACA box 84